GACGAACGCUGGCGGCGUGCUUAACACAUGCAAGUCGAACGGUGAAGCGCCUUCCUUUUUGGUGGGUGUGGUUGAGUGGCGAACAGGUGCGUAACACUAGAGUAACCUGCCCCCUUCUACUGGCUCACCGCAUGGAAGCGUGGAUAAUACGGGAUAUUCUGGGUCUGUGGCAUGAUGGGUCUGGGAUAAACAUUGUUUCGGUGAGGCAUGGGCUCGCGGCCUAUUAGCUUGGUGGUGGGGUGAUGGCCUACCAAGGCGGUGCCGGGUAGACGGCCUGAGAGGGUGGCCGGCCAGAGAGGGACUGAGACACGGCGGGGACUGCGACGGGAGGCAGCAGUGGGGGAUAGUGAACAGUGGGCGAAAGUCUGAAGCAGCGGCGCCGCGUGAGGGAUGGAGCCCUUCGGGUGGUGAACCUCUUUGGCUAGUGAAGCACGCUCGCCUCGUUUGUGGGUGGGUUGACGGUAGCUGGAGAAGAAGCGCCGGCUAACUACGUG
rnacentral:rRNA from 1 species